AAAGAAAUUAGGUUCAAACCCCUAAACCGAGGGCCUUCAAAGCCCUAAAAGAGGAUAACCACCCCCUCAUUUCUUG
rnacentral:tRNA from 1 species